UAGGGAAUAUUAGAAAUGGACGAAAGUCUGAUCUAGCAACACCGCGUGUGCGAAGAAGGCCUUCGGGUCGUAAAGCACUUUUUGGAAGGAAUAGGAAGGAAUGUACUUCCAGAAUAAGUCUCGGCUAACUACGUGCCAGCAGCCGCGGUAACACGUAGGAGGCAAACGUUAUCCGGAUUUACUGGCGUAAAGCGCGUGUAGGUGGUACUGUAAGUAGGGCGUGAAAGCUCUUGGCUCAACUGGGAGAGGCCGUUCUAAACUACAGAACUAGAGGAUGGUAGAGGGAGGUGGAAUUCCAGGUGUAGCGGUGGAAUGCGCAGAUAUCUGGAGGAACACCGGUGGUGAAGGCGGCCUCCUGGACCAUUCCUGACACUCAGACGCGAAAGCUAGGGUAGCAAACGG
rnacentral:rRNA from 1 species